rnacentral:rRNA from 1 species
AACGUAGGAGGCGAGCGUUAUCCGGAUUCACUGGGCGUAAAGCGCAGGUAGGUGGUUCGUUAAGUCGGUUGUGAAAGCCCCUGGCUCAACUGGGGGAGGUCAGCCGAAACUGGCGGACUGGAGGUUCCGAGAGGAGAGCGGAAUUCCCGGUGUAGCGGUGGAAUGCGUAGAGAUCGGGAGGAACACCAGUGGCGAAAGCGGCUCUCUGGCGGAAAACUGACACUGAACUGCGAAAGCGUGGGUAGCAAAC